GGGGAUAUAGCUCAGUUGGUAGAGUGCUUGCCUUGUAUGCAAGGCCCUGGGUUCAAUCUCCAGAACUACCA
rnacentral:tRNA from 1 species